rnacentral:rRNA from 1 species
AUCUACGGCCAUACCACCCUGAACGUGCCCGAUCUCGUCUGAUCUUAGAAGCAAAGCAGGGUCGGCGUGGUUAGUACUUGGAUGGGAGACGGCCUAGGAAUACUGGGUGCCGUAGGCU